rnacentral:lncRNA from 1 species
CAGCUAAAAGAAUUGUUUCUGCUCUCAAUGAAUGGUCUCAAACUGAUACUUUUGUUCAACACUUCUGAUACAAGAGGGUCUAGCAUCAUAGGACCUAUCACAAGAGGAAUGCCCAAAAAGCUUAAAAUUGCCAAAGCAUGAAGAAGGGUAAGAUGGUCAUUGCUACAAAAAGGGGAGGUGUUCUUAUCAAGAUAGGGGGCUGCAUUAGAAGAACUUCUCCUUCACAUUCAGAUUUUAGCAUUUCCACGUGAUUGAAUAAACCUUUCUAGAAGGCCAUCACCUUUUCCACAUGGGUGAAUACGUGUCAUUAGAUCCAUCAUUUACGGAUCACACUUUUUCUUUGCUUAGCUUCAUGAAUGCAUCUAUAAAUUCAUGAAGGCAUCAUUUGUAAAAUACUUUGGAAUCUAUGAGAAAUUUCUUCAAUCUGAAAUUCAUCUCUGCCAAGCAAAUGCUUACCAAAGUCACUCUUUCCAUCAACUAUCUCCCACCUCUUAGCUUUCUUCCAACAAUGGAGGUUGCCUGAAGCUAGGACCACCUCAUUCCUUCUCUGCCGCAACCAUCCUUCACUCAGAUUCCAUCAACUUUCCGCUGCCACCUGCUGGAACUCUGCCUUCUCGGGUUCUCACUUCAACCAAGCAAUGGAGAGACUUAUCAACUUCCAAAGCCUAUUCUCAUGAGAUCUCUUGCUCAACUUAUACACCGUUGCAACUAAUUGUAACUCACUUUCUACUAAGCACCACCUG